CUGAGUCGUCGACACGAGUUGUUGCUGGUCCUCAAACGGGGGACAUGUGCACGCUCUGUUUACACAUCCACUCACACCUGUGCACCCUCUGUAGUUCCCUUCUGUGGUUCUGCAUCUUUACACACACACUGUAACAAAGUUUUAUGGAAUGUGCAUCGCGUUUAACGCAGUAUAAUA
rnacentral:misc_RNA from 1 species